CAACGGCGAGGCGGCGUUGCAACAAAUGAGACGGCGCUCACUCUGAUGAUGGAUGAAGGGCGACACACAUGCAUCGGGGGGGUUCCGUGUGCGACAAGUGCAGUCAGAGGCCAAAGCGUCAAUAACACAUGAUUACCUCCUCUACCUCUGCUGCAUGCGAGCAUACAAACGCAACAACAUCAACGUCCCCAGUCGAACUGGGCGGUCCCACCAGUGUGGAGUUGGCAUCUUCUCCCAGUGCCUGGGUGGCUUUUCUCCGGGCACUUCGGUUUCCUCCCACAUCCCAAAAACAUGCACGAGAACACUGCUGACUAUUCUUGCCGCUUUUCAUAAGCCCUUCUGUAUACAGCCGCAACACGUUUCAAAGUGUGCAGAUCGACGAAGGCGAUGACGCUUGGCCUCCGUACGCCACUUUCCCUGCACCGGCGCUCGUUUUGGCCCGAGCACAUCUGCAAUCGACAGACGCCAACAUCAGUGUGCCAUCCUCAUCCAGCUGGAAGGAUCGAAGCCAGUGCGACCCGUCCAAAAAGGGGGCGGCGGGGAUUCUUGGAAGAGGAGAACGGCGAGCGAGGUACGAUUUCAGCUGCGAUUGGCCGACGGGCCGUUUGGCAUCGAGCGGCGAACAGGUGCGCGGCUGGCGAACUUGAUUAUUGUGCUGAUGAAUAAAGCGAGGCCAUCUAGUCGUGAGCUGUUUGUGCACAUUUCAAACGUCUUUUGUGUAAGCGUUGUGAUGACAACUGAGUGUGCGGAGGACGAGGCCAGGGGGUACGCCAGGCGGUUGGGGGCCACAACCACAGUACACGGUUGUCUCCACUUGUUCGGGCAAAUAUUCUGGCUUUCAAUGAAGUCCCAAUGAAGGUAAUUAUUGCUGUUGUGCUUCCAGUAAUAAAGGUCAAAAGCUUGAACUGAGCUGCUUUAGUGGAAUUGCCUCUAAAUGAAGAUUUAUUGCGCCUGCGUCAAAUAAUGCGGCAAGACAAAGUGGAAAUUCCCAACACGAGGAGCAUUUGGGCCGGAUCUGGAUCAUUUGAACAAUUUCCUACAUUUUUCAGGCAUUCAUACAAAAUUAGAUCAAGUGACUCAUUUAAAGUUUUGAAAUCUAGACCCAUUUUAUUUAAAAAAUUUAUUUUAAAAAUGUAUUAAACUUCUGCUCGCUUUCUUUUUCCUCUUUUAUACUUAUUAUACGUUUUAAAAUAAUUGAUGAAUUUUCAAACCCACCCUCCCACUUAAAUAUGUAUUGUGCAUUGUGCUUGCAAGGGAACUCCCCUGUUCAAAUGGUAUCCAUAAUCGAAACAACACAAGGCAGGCACAUCAGGCAUGCUGAAUUAGUAAUAUUCAAAUUGUAAAAUUAUGACAAUUACUGAAUGAAGGUUUGAUGCCAAUCCAACCCUGGCGGAGGACUGGCUGCCAUUGUGUUCGGUGCAGAUGAGAAUAAAGAUGCAAAUCCAGGAUUUUAUUUUGUCAUUUGCCUCAAUUUCUUGAUGAAUAAUCAAUGACAUUGAAGCCUAUCGAAGUCAAUUAAUUUGCCCGUUCAAUCUUGCUAUUUGGUCCAGGUAGAAUCAAUGACAUUUGAAUUUUUUUGUUGUGUUCAUGGGAUGUUACAUUUUUUGGGGCUCCUUUUUCUUCAUUUUUCAGGAAGUCAUUCAUGAAUCUUAAUGAGCAAAUUGCAGCAUAAUGAGUCCAUUUUGGACUCUUCCUCCUAACCAUCCAGUCACAGGCGACGAGCAGGCAGAGUUAUUUUUGCCGCAUGAAUAGGGUAAAAAAAACAAAAAAGGAAAUGUGUUCUGCAAGUGGACUGCGGGAAGUAAACUGGCCGUAAUGGGAAUGGAAAUGUGCUCCCGCCAUCGGCUCACUUUUGUUCUGAGCAGCACUCCGAGUGGCAAUUACGGAGGCGGCGCCUUUUCUGUUGGCGCGCCUCUAAUGACGCCGUCGGAUGCCGACGCGGCUCGGUGAAUGCGCAGACAUUUUGAUUCUCACGCUCACGCACGCACGCUUUAAUCCUGCUUAUCCUGAGACGACCUGUGCUCAACAAUCGGAAAUGUCAGCAUUUGUUUGUUUGUCAGCAUCCACCAUUUUGUCAUCCAAAUCUAACUGACAAUAAUGUUGUUGUCGAUUAUUUUAACAAUAAAUACUGUACUAUUCAAUGUCCUCAGUUUCAGAUUUGGGUUUUUUGCUGUUAAGACUACAUUUCAAUACACAUUUGGGAAGUACAUAAUCAUACAAAAGAAAAUUGACAAACUAAGCAGUCCUCUGACUAGCCCUCAGCAAGACCGUUAAUUUGAGGUGUAACCCGAUGUGAUUUGCUUCAAUUUGGAUUUUUUGCAUUGUUACGAGCAAAUUUUGAACUCAGGUAAGCACCUUAAAUUUAAAGAUGAAAAGGAAGCAGCCAAGCGGCUACCUAACUUGUGUGUCUGCCAAGUUUGGAGAAAAUCGGAACAAAAGUUUUUUUUGUGGUUCACAUUGCUGUAACCUUGACUUCGGACUCUGACCUUUACACAUUGGCACAG